ACUUUCAACAACGGAUCUCUUGGUUCUGGCAUCGAUGAAGAACGCAGCGAAAUGCGAUACGUAAUGUGAAUUGCAGAAUUCAGUGAAUCAUCGAAUCUUUGAACGCACAUUGCGCCCGCCAGUAUUCUGGCGGGCAUGCCUGUUCGAGCGUCAUUUCAA
rnacentral:rRNA from 1 species